CCUGAUCAUGGUGGCUCCCUCAACCAUUUUGGACCAAGGUCCAGGAAAGUAAUUUCCCUUUGAUCUGUUGGCUGAUCUGAUUUUGCUGACAGUGGAAAACCCCAGCGUGCUUCUAGAUGAGUUGCUAAGGGUGAGAGAGAGAGAGCUCUGGAGGUCCUGCCAACUCUGCCUCCCACAUCCAUCUACAAGAGAGGAGGAAACGUCUUCAGAUCCACCACUGAGGAGUCCCACAAGUCAUUUAUUGAC